GACCCCUAGCCUGGGAACCUCCAUAUGCUGCAAGUGUGGCCCUAAAAGGAUAAAAGACCAAAAAAAAAAAAAAAAAAAAAAAUUAUUGCUAGACAAUUCGACCUCUAGCCCAGGCACUUCCAUUAUGCCACAAGUGCGAUCCUAAAAAAAAAAUUCUUGCUAGAAAAUGGUAACCAUUAUCAGAGCCUUCAGUGAAUCAUAGUAAUACCAAAGAUCACUGAUCAUAGAUGACCAUAACAAAUAUAAUAAAGGAAAAGAUUGGAAUAUUGUGAGGAUUAGCAAGAUGUGACAGAGACACAAAGUGAGCAGAUGCUGUUGGGAAAAAUGGCCCUGAGACUUGCUCUAUGCAGGGUUGCCACAGUCCUUCAAUUUGUUAAAAAUAAAUAAAUAAAAGUGGGAGCUCCUAGCUGGCACAUCAGGUUAAGAAUCUGGCACUGGCACAGGUUGCGGCUCUACAGUUCAGAUUUGACCCCUAGCCUGGGAACUUCCAUAUGCCAUGGGUGCAGCCCUAAAAAUACAAAAACAAAAAAGAAAAAAUAUGAUCUAUGGGACCCCACUUCAUUAACUACCUUCUAACUUCAUGAGCUAUACUCUCCCCCUUUAUUCUCUAUGUCCUGGGUCUCAGAUGCUAACUGUAUUCCUCAAACAUGCCAUUUCAGGACCUUGAGCUUCCCUCUGCUUGGAAACUGACCUCAAACAGCAUGGCAGUGUUUUCAUUCAGUUCUCAGCCCUAAUGUCCCUUUCUCGGAUGACAUAAAUAGCCAUUCCCCAACUUCUGUCAUUCUAUCAUGUUUUUCUAUGAAUUCAGUAAACAUACCACUAUCUUAAAUUAGCUUGUUUAUAAAUUUUGUCUCUCCCCAGGAAAGACAGUUAUGUGCCCUUGUAAACUCCAUAGGGCAGGGAGCUUGUCUUUCUUGCUCACAACCACGCCCAUAAUGCUUGCUAAAUAUCUGUUGAAUGAGGAGUUCCCCUCCUGGCACAGUGGUUAACGAAUCUGACUAGGAACCUUGAGGUUGCGGGUUCGGUCCCUGGCCUUGCUCAGUGGGUUAAGGAUCCGGCAUUGCCGUGAGCUGUGGUGUAGGUUGCAGACACGGCUUGGAUCCCACAUUGCUGUGGCUGUGGUGUAGGCCGGCAGCCAUACCUCCAUUUCAACCCCUAGCCUGGGAACCACCAUAUGCCGCGGGAGUGGCUCAAGAAAUGGCAAAAAAGACAAAAAAAAAAAAAAAAUCUGUUGAAUGAAUACCCCUGUAGCAGGAAGUUGCUUGGAAAAGUGGUUUUUUUAAAAAAAAAAAAAAAAACAAGCUGGUGUUCCCAUCAUGGCUCAGUGGCUAACGAACCCAACCAGUAUCCAUCAGGACUCAGGUUUUAUCCCUGGCCUUGCUCACUGGGUCAAGGAUCUGGCAUUGCCAUGAGCUGUGGUGUAGGUUGCAGAUGAGGCUUGGAUCCAGCGUUGCUGUGGCUGUGAUGUAGGCCGUCAGCUACAGCUCCAAUUCGACCCCUAGCCUGGAAACUUCUAUAUACCAUGGGUAUGGCCCUAAAAAGACAAAAAAGAUCAAGCUGACUCAUGGAAUCAGACCAAAACCAAAGUCAAUUCAGCAACUUAAACAAAAGGAUAAGAAAUCUCUGGCAUAUCAAGCCCCUCCCUAUUCUUAGAGCACUAGUGCAAGGAGAUACGCACAAUAGCCUCUUGAGUGUGAUGGGCCACCUCUGCAUUUAGCAGCUCAUAAGAAUUCUUCCUGGCACCAAACAAGCAAGAGGGAUGUCCAUAUGUCAGCAGGAGCUGGUAGCAGCCCUGAUUGCCUAGAGGUCUUUCAAGCGGAGAAAAGGAGGAGUAAAGUGAUUCAGUAGUGGAGUUUGAUUGAAGUCAGAAGUACAAACUGCCUCCCAGCCACUCUGAGCGCUCAGCCCCCUUCUCUGUCAUCACCGUUUCAUUUGGCUCACUCCUGUCACUUGGCAGUCAAAGCUAUUCCAAGUGAGUCUUUGCACCCAGCCAUCAUCCUUUGAAAGCACUCCCAGUCUCAGAGGAGGACCCAAGUUCCAUCUGGCUGCACUCACAUUUUGCUGCAGCAUUUGGCCAUUUGGCAGGCUUCAAGCACACUAGGGAGCCAAUGGUCACCUUUAGAGGAGUUUGGAUGACCAUUCUGGUUGUGUGGUUAGUGAUGGGAGUUAUUGUUUUUGUUACAAGUGUGGUUUGUUUACUUGUUGUCCUGCCAAAUGUGGUUGUAAGAGAAUAUCAAACCAGGCUGUCAGGUUCUUAUUAGUUAACAUUCACUGGAUUCCUACCAGUCUGGCGUAAUGCUGGGCCUUGACAUACACCAGCUCUAAUCUUCUCAACAACCCUGUAAGGUAUAUAGUAAUACCAUUUUACAGAUGGAAAACCGAUGCUCAGAAGUAAAGGAACUUUCCCAUAAGGCCCCUACUGUAGUCUGCGUCAUCAUUAUUUAACUCAUAUUUGCAUAGUGAGAGUAUUAUUUUUUAUUGAAGUAGUUGAUUUAUAACGUGAGAGUAUUAGUCACCAAAUUUCAGAUCAGUUUUCCUCAACACCCCCCAAAAGAAAUAAAACAAUUAUUGCCACCUCCAUUUUAAGAUGUCUAGGGUGGAAUUCCCAUUGUGGCUCAGUGGGUUAAGAACCUGACAAAGUGUCCAUGAGGAUACAGGUUUGAUCCCUGGCCUCACUUAGUGGGUUAAGGAUACAGCAUUGCCACAACCUGUGGUGUAGUUUGCAGAUGUGGCUCGGAUCCGGCACUGCUGUAGCUGUGGCAUAGGCCUGCUUGCAGCUAUAGCUCCAAUUCAGCCCCUAGCCUGGGAACCUUAUGCCACAGGUGCAGCCAUAAAAGAAAAAACAAAACAAAAA
rnacentral:lncRNA from 9 species